GGGUCGUUAGCUCCGUUGGUAGAGCAGUUACCUUUUACCAAUUGAUCAUAGGUUCGAAUCCUAUACAACCCA
rnacentral:tRNA from 1 species